AGUAGUUUUUCUAUCAAUGUUAUCUGUUAAAAUGAACUUCCAUACGCAUGAUUUAUGAAUUAUGAUAAAAUGCAAUGGUAUGGUUUGAUCCAUGUAGCCGAUAGCCGAUAGCCGACCUUAACUAGUGAAAAAAGGCUUUGAUUGUUAUAAAAGCUAAUUAUGUACUUAGAUUUUCUUAUAGCCAGUUCAAUUUAACAAUGCUUGAUUUGUUCUGUUCAUUUCUAAAACUUUCCUUCCUACUUGUGCAGCUUGUUUUGGUCAAUCCUGGAAGUGAGGUGAUGAAGAAACUGAACAAAUCCAAAUUCCAAAUGGAUUUAGGGCAGAAGUGGUUCUAUCUGACAGUUGCAGAGGCUGUUGGAGCAUGCAACUAUAUGCUGCACGCAUGCAAACCAAAUUCUGUGAAAGAUGAACAAGAGGGUUGGAACAAUGUCUAAGUCAUAUUUCAAGGCAUGUUUUCAAGAUCUCUUGCAAAGCUUGGUCGUUUUAGUCUCAGCAAAAUUACCAUCACAAUAUGUAUAUGUUUCAUGAGAGUUUGUGAAUCAUGUUGUACAAGAUUUCGGGUCAUAGGAAAAUGAAAGAUGCAUGUAUGUUUUAAUGUCUGAAACAUGCAUCCUGAGUUGGAACUAAAUCUUCUACAUAGUCUGUUGAAUAUUAUGUAUUGCGCUUGAUAAAUUAAUCAAAUGGAAAGUAAAUGCUACGAGAAUUCAAAUUGUUCCUUAUGAAAUUUCCGAGAACUAGACCAAAUUAAAGUGGCAUGCUAAUUAUAAGUUCUUAGCCUUAUUCAAUAACAUGCAUAUCCUUCGGCAAAAUUACUCAAUAAAGCUCAUCUAAAAUAAACUUUCCUAUUGCAUCACCUUGCUAUGGGAGGAGACAAUGUAAUGCACUAAAGAGGAAUAAUAAUACCAAAUAAAGACUAUGUUCCUUUAAAGCACAAAAAAAUGAUUCAUAACUGAUAAUUUUACAGUUUUACACUAGAUUAAAGUAGGAGACUAUUUUAUAUUUUUAAAAAAACUCAUCUUUAAUCCUAAUAAUUAAUUUAGGGGGAAAUACAGCGCAAUCUUGAGUUGAUGCUUUUAAUAUUGAAUCAAACUUUUUAAUAUUUUUAGAAUGAACUUUACAUUUUAUCUCCUUUAAAUAUAGGACAACUGUGUACUCAUUUUAGGUCUCUUAAAUAAUUGGGUAGUUAGUGACUUAGUAUUCAGUAAAAAAGGUGAUAAACCACUCAUUAAAAGUCAUUAAACAUGUAAAUGUAUUUAUUUUCUUAUACAGUAUAAUUGAACUACAAAACAGUCUGAGUCCACAGCAAGAGGUCUACUAUAUAUUUAUAUUAGCUACCACAGGACUAGCUUUGUUCACUCCAUAUGUAGCAUAUCCCGUAAUAGGAAAGGCUCCACUGCAUCCCCAAAGUUGGAGGUUCGAUUCUUGAGAGUGACACUUGUUAGGAGGGGCAGUCAUGAAUUCUGAGAGAGAUUAGUUCCUUACCCAAAAAUGUAAGGGAUACCCUUGGUAGUAUCAAAAAAAAUAUUCCAUAAUAGGAAAUAGUGAAUGAUCCUCUUCUUAUGCUCAAUGGAUGUGAACUUCUCUAGAAAUCAAAUAUGGCAAAAAAGAUUACCAAGAACUUCAAGAAAUGCAUUUCUUGCAUUUUAGGCUGAAGAAAGGAUUCUUAAGACAAGCAAAAACACAAACAAAAGAUAAAGAUAAGUGCAUGUUACCAAAAUGCUAAAGAAAGCAAUAAACAAAACAUGAAUCAUUCAUCUAAACCAGAGAUAAAAAAAAGAGGCAGGGGAUUAUUCAGAGUUGGAAGGGGAAAAAAGAAAUGAAGUUCAUCCUAGCCUCUUCUGAUUAAAUGAGGCACAAAAUGUACAGCAUCAAAAUAUGUAAAAUCUUGAACCAUCUAUAGAAAGGAAAAUUUACAGACAAGAAAGCUAAUGUCUGACUUGUCUCAUGCACCUUCUAAACUAUGCUAACAAUCGGCCAAUAAAAGUUUGGCAACUCAAUCUCUAUGGGUGAGAGGUUCCACACAUGCACAAAAGGUUGCUCUCUUCUUCUGGUUGUUGGUUCUAGUCCCACCAUAGAGAUAAUCUCGUAAAAGAACUCUUGGACUUCGAUGAUCAGCAACUUUUGUUUUUUCUUUGCUUUCUUUUCUACCAUCCAGUUUCAGAAGCAGAAACUGCAGUCUUUGCACCUCCAACUGCAGCCUUCCUAUUUUUUCUGACCCUCUUCGCGCAUGCUCCAUUACUCUCCUUUUGCUGACACUUCCAAUCUCCCCGGACUCGAACACUGCCUUCUCGUCGAAAGACAUGAUACUAUCUUCCACAUUCUUCUUUAACUUUUGGUUGCCAUCAAACAACUUUGUGAUGGUUUCCUGAGCAGCUUCAAUCUGAUCUUUCACAGAAUUGUACUCAACACCUUUUCCCUUUUUGCUAGUUCCCAUAAUUUCCACCUUCUUCACCAAAUCCAGUAUGGUUAUUUGAAUGUUUGUUAGCUUUUGUGCAUCAGAAUCAAGUCUUUCUAAAACUUUGCUCUUGUUUCCCACUUCAUGUGGUUGUCCAAACAAAAGAGAACAACAAGAGUAACCACAUAAUCAUUGUUCUUAACGAAAUAAGAAUAUUCUUAUUCUGUUCUCGAUUGUGUUAUUCUUAUUUUCUGAUUUUUGUUAUUAAAUAAGAACAAUUCUUGGUUGUUCUCAGCCAAGGGAAAGUAAAGAGAAAAAAAGGUAAAUAUUAUGAUGCUCAAAUAAAAAUAAAUAAGAAUGAUGUUUAUCGUUGUGAAAAAAAAUUAUUAAGUUAUAUAGAAUAAUGUGACACUAAAAAAGAAUGAAGAUUAUGGUGGAGAUGCUCUAAUUUUCAUCCUAUUCUUUCCAUUUAACCCUCCCUCUGUCAUUUCAUCCCACUAUUCCCAGAUUUCUACACAUUAGCAUUAGCAUGUCACAUAUUAUUUUCCUAAUUGAAAAGGAUGAAAAGUGAGAGAUAGGAAUUGAGAAGAAAAAAAGAAAAAAUAAUUAAAAUAUAAUGGACUACUGGCCUCAAUUCAUAUAAUAGAGUGGCCACAAUAUUUGAAUACAAUUUCUUAAGAAUUGAUGAUAUUGUGCAGGAAGGAAUAGCAGUUGGAAGAAGCUUUGCAAUGUUCAAAAAUUACCAUAUUGAUGGAAACAAAGAGAUGAUAGCUAUUGGCACCAUGAAUAUUGUUGGUUCUUUCACCUCAUGCUACCUCACCACAGGUAAAGUUUUUAUUAAUUAUUGAUACUAAGUGCCCAAUUAAUUUUCAGCAUCAAUUAUGCUAUCAAAUGUUGCAUUAAUAACAUCAAUAUUAUUUCAGGGCCUUUUUCACGUUCUGCUGUGAACUACAAUGCUGGAUGCAAGACUGCAGCAUCAAAUAUUGUAAUGUCAAUUGCAGUGAUGGUGACAUUGUUAUGCUUAACACCUUUGUUCCAUUACACUCCUCUAGUGGUUCUAUCAGCCAUAAUUGUAUCUGCAAUGCUUGGCCUCAUAGAUUAUGAAGCUGCCAUCCAUCUUUGGAAGAUUGACAAAUUUGACUUUGUGAUUUGCAUCAGUGCAUAUAUUGGUGUGGUCUUUGGCAGUGUUGAAAUUGGCUUAAUCGUUGCAGUAUGUAUAAAUCUGAAUUUAAUAUGUCAGUUUUUGCUUUUAUUAUAAAGGUUUAUGAAACUAAUAUGUACUUUUCUUUGCAUAUUCAGGUUGCAUUAUCUUUACUUAGGAUACUUUUAUUUAUUGCAAGGCCAAGGACAUUUGUUUUGGGAAACAUUCCAAAUUCUGUGAUAUACAGAAAUGUUGAGCAAUAUCCAAAUGCAAAUCAUGUUCCUGGAAUUCUAAUUCUAAAGAUUGAUGCACCAAUUUACUUUGCCAAUGCAAGCUAUUUAAGAGAAAGGUAAUUAAGCUACCUGAAUUUUUGAGUUUUACUCUUGCAUGCAAACAAUCCUAACAGUGAAGUGGAAAUAGGAUUACAAGGUGGAUUGAUGAAGAGGAAGACAGAAUUAAAGCUACAGGGGAAACAAGUUUGCAAUAUGUUAUAAUGGAUAUGACUGGUAAGUGAUGGAUCUGUAAAACAAAGUAACUUGCAAACUGGUUAUUAGAAUUUACAUUCUAACUUUCAAUGUAAUUUUAUUGGCAGCUGUUGGGAACAUUGAUACAAGUGGAAUCAGCAUGCUUGAAGAGGUCAAAAAGAUUGCAGACAGAAGAGAGCUACAAGUAGUUUUUCUAUCAAUGUUAUCUGUUAAAAUGAACUUCCAUACGCAUGAUUUAUGAAUUAUGAUAAAAUGCAAUGGUAUGGUUUGAUCCAUGUAGCCGAUAGCCGAUAGCCGACCUUAACUAGUGAAAAAAGGCUUUGAUUGUUAUAAAAGCUAAUUAUGUACUUAGAUUUUCUUAUAGCCAGUUCAAUUUAACAAUGCUUGAUUUGUUCUGUUCAUUUCUAAAACUUUCCUUCCUACUUGUGCAGCU
rnacentral:lncRNA from 1 species